GCUGACAGCGCUCUUGCGUCAAUGUCAAACAAAUCAAACCUCUACCAUGUGUAGCCAUAAAAUUAAUAUCUUCUUUACUAACUUUCUCAGCUGCUAUCA
rnacentral:antisense_RNA from 1 species